rnacentral:rRNA from 1 species
CCUACGUGAGGCAGCAGUGAGGAAUAUUUGUCAAUGGGCGCGAGCCUGAACCAGCCAAGUAGCGUGAAGGAUGACUGCCCUACGGGUUGUAAACUUCUUUUAUAAAGGAAUAAAGUGAGCCACGUGUGCCUUUUUGUAUGUACUUUAUGAAUAAGGAUCGGCUAACUCCGUGCCAGCAGCCGCGGUAAUACGGAGGAUCCGAGCGUUAUCCGGAUUUAUUGGGUUUAAAGGGAGCGUAGAUGGGUUGUUAAGUCAGUUGUGAAAGUUUGCGGCUCAACCGUAAAAUUGCAAUUGAUACUGGCAGUCUUGAGUACAGUUGAGGUAGGCGGAAUUCGUGGUGUAGCGGUGAAAUGCUUAGAUAUCACGAAGAACUCCGAUUGCGAAGGCAGCUUACUAAACUGCAACUGACAUUGAUGCUCGAAAGUGUGGGUAUCAAACAGGAUUAGAUACCCGGGUAGUC